GUUCCUUGGAAAAGGACAGCUGAGAGGGUGAGACUCCCGUCCGCCUGGUAGAGUGAACCUUUGUCAAAGAGUCGAGUUGUUUGGGAUUGCAGCUCUAAUUUGGUGGUAAAUUCCAUCUAAAGCUAAAUAUUGGUGGGAGACCGAUAGCGUACAAGUACCGUGAGGGAAAGAUGCAAAGAACUUUGAAAAGAGAGUUAAAGAGUACCUGAAAUUGCUGAAACGGAAGCGAAGGAAACCAGUGUUUGUUUGUUCAUAUUUCCCUGACCACUUGUGGUUUGGGCGCUGUGGGCUUGCGUCGGUUUGCUUUGGUUAAUCCCUUUGGAAGAGCGCAGUCAGAGUUGAUGUCU
rnacentral:rRNA from 1 species